UACGUAGGGUGCGAGCGUUAAUCGGAAUCACUGGGCGUAAAGCGUACGCAGGCGGACCGUUAAGUCGGGUGUGAAAGCCCGGGGCUCAACCCUCGGAUGCCGGUGGAUACUGUCGGGCUUGAGUACGGAAGAGGCGAGUGGAAUUCCUGGUGUAGCGGUGAAAUGCGCAGAUAUCAGGAGGAACACCAAUUGCGAAGGCAGCUCGCUGGGACGUUACUGACGCUGAGACGCGAAAGCGUGGGGAGCAAACAGG
rnacentral:rRNA from 1 species